ensembl:rRNA 5S_rRNA 5S ribosomal RNA
GCCUACGACCAUAUCACCCUGAAUGCGUCUGAUCUCGUCUGAUCUCUGAAGCUAAGCAUGGUCGAGCCUGGGUAGUACUUGGAUGGGAGACUGCCUGGGAAUACCAGGUGUUGUAGGCU